UGGCGGUGUUUUAGACCUAUUAGGGGAACCUGUUUCAUAAUCGACAAUCCGCGUUAAACCUAACCCUAUUUUGUACUCAGUUUGUAUACCGUCGUCGUCAGGUAACUUUUAAAAAACUAGAAGUUAGCAACAAGAAUUUUGUAAAUUAAAACGUCAGAUCAAGGUGCAGCUAAUAAAAGGGAGAGAAUGGGUUACAAUUAUUUUAUUUAUAAUUACGGAAAGCUGCAUGAAGUAUAGCUGGAAGGAGGACUUAAAAGUAAAAUAGAGUAUAUAAACAAUUUGAAUAUGGCUCUGAAACGUGC
rnacentral:rRNA from 1 species